rnacentral:rRNA from 1 species
UACGUAGGGGCAAGCGUUGUCCGGAAUCAUUGGGCGUAAAGCGCGUGUAGGCGGCCCGGUAAGUCCGCUGUGAAAGUCGGGGGCUCAACCCUCGAAUGCCGGUGGAUACUGUCGGGCUAGAGUGCGGAAGAGGCGAGUGGAAUUCCUGGUGUAGCGGUGAAAUGCGCAGAUAUCAGGAGGAACACCAAUUGCGAAGGCAGCUCGCUGGGACGUUACUGACGCUGAGACGCGAAAGCGUGGGGAGCAAACAGG